GAUUAACGCUGGCGGCGUGCAUAACACAUGCAAGUCGAACGAUGACACUUAAAUGAUUUCUUCGGAAUGAACUUACGUGGAUUAGUGGCGGACGGGUGAGUAACGCGUGAGUAACCUGCCUUACACAAGGGGAUAGCCGUUGGAAACGACGAAUAAUACCCUAUGAAACUAUCACUUCGCAUGAUGCGAUAGUCAAAGUGUUAGCGGUGUAAGAUGGACUUGCGUCUGAUUAGCUAGUUGGUGAGAAAAAAGCCCACCAAGGCAACGAUCAGUAGCCGGCUGGAGAGAGUGUACGGCACAAUUGGGACUGAGGCACGGCCCAGACUCCUACGGGAGGCAGCAGGGGGGAAUUUUGCACAAUGGGGGAAACCCUGAUGCAGCGAGGCGGCGUGAUUUAGAAGGCCUUCGGGUUGUAAAAAUCUUUUGUAUAGGAAGAAAAUGACAGUACUAUACGAAUAAGGUCCGGCUAAUUACGUG
rnacentral:rRNA from 1 species